rnacentral:lncRNA from 10 species
CAGACACUCAUAUUUUAGUAGAGCACAUGGUGGUUUUGUUCAUCAGUUGAACAAUCAGCAUCUCAGAUAGAUCCAACUGAAGAACUUGUUCCUGGACUUUUGUACUAAAAUAUACUAAAACCAAAAGUCAAAACAUUAGUUAACAGGAAAUUGUUCGGAUACAUGUAGUAAAAGAGAAUUGACAGCAUGAUUUCCAAAUCGAUUGUGCCAAAUAAGUUUUUCCAAAUGAAAAGUCCAACAUACUGUGAUGAAUUCCUCUCAUGGUCUUGCACUUUGCUUUACAUUUGUUUCUAUAUUUGAUCUUGUGGCUAAAACACCGAUUUGCAAGUAAUGAUUUGGACCACCAAGCUGUACUGAAUGCAACUCAAAUGAAUGCCUGUGGACUUCAAGACAGAUACUACAGACAUCGUCCACAGUAUCGGCCAAAAUUCCAGUAACAGCAAUAGGCACUUUCUCUGUGACUUCUGUAGACCAUAAGAAUAGAAGAUAAGGCCAUAUUGUCAGGGAAAGGUUGAAUUUUGUGAAAAAUGACUCCUUUUGAAGAAUUGCCAUGACUGGCAAUAGUGGUGAACAACCUUUCCAUUGGAAUGACUGUCUUUGCAUCAGCACCAUGCACCAUAAGGGCUGGUGACUGGAGGAACAUUCAGCAGCCAGAAAAAUUAAACUGCCUGAAUAAGAGUAGGCUGGCAAGUUUGAAGUGCUGACAGUAGGCUGCAGUGUAUCUUGAAAUAAACAUCUAUCUAUUGGGAGAGGUGAAAUGAAAUUUUCUCAAUAAUAAAACCACUAAAAAAAAGUUUUUGAACUUAACCUGCAGGACCUGCAAAGACAAAGUGUUCAACUGAUCUUUAUUUUUUUAUGAAAACCGAUUUUUUUUUUGAGACAGGGUCUCACUCUGUCGCUCAGGCUGUAGUGCAGUGGCACAAUCUCGCCUCACUGCAGCCUCGACCUCCUGGGCUCAAGUGAUCCUCCCACCUUGGCCUCUGGAGUAGCUGGGAAUACAGGUGCACACCAGCACGCCCAGCUUACUUUUUUUAUUUUGUGUAGAGACUGGGUUUUACCAUGUUGCCUAGGCUGGUCUUGAAAUUCUGGACUCAAGCAAUCCACCUGCUUCAGCCUCCCAAAACGCUGGGAUUACAAGUGUAAGCAAACAUGCCCGGCCCAAAAUUGGUUUUUCCACAGAGACGACAAUCUGAAAUUACUACUAAUUAAAAUAUUUUCCCGGCCGGGCGCGGUGGCUCA